rnacentral:lncRNA from 1 species
CAGGCUUUUGCGGGCUCCUCGGGCCGAACCCGAAGGGGCUGUUCCUGAACCUUGACUUGUUAUCAUAGGGACCCAAGCUCUAUUUUUGUGUGGCCAAUUCGUGCACUGCAGCAAAAUGGCCCUUCAGUCGCGUCUUGGGGUUUCUCCUCGGUUCAAAUGCUCUCGCGCUGAGAAAAAGCCGGAGGAAAAAAAAGCGACACCCUCCCUCCCCCAUUAAUUAUUUGUGGGGCCGGAGUAACGCGGGCUGGUGCAACCGGUGCAUAUAAGGACUUGUGUGCAAGGAAGGGGAUCCGCCUCCAGGCGCGGAAAGAGUAGGGAAGAAGCGCACACGCACAGUGCACCCAGCUGGGCGCUUCGGCAGUUUGCAGCUGCGGCGGGGUCGGGUCCACCCGCGGUCCCCGGAAUGCCGGACGGCUGAUCCCGGGUGCUGGUCACUCGCCGAUUCGGGGCUGGGAAGGUUUGCCAGAAGCGGGAAAGAUGGGAGAUCUGAGCGCUCUCUUGGCAUCGCCACACCCAGGACUUGCUCGUGCCGCAAUUCCCCACGGAAACAACCGAGUUGAAACGAGAAGCUUGCUCUCUGGGUGCAGUAGCUAGAAGGCUUCAGGUAACUCCAAAGCCAACACUGGGUGAGGCAACACACGCCGCCUCAGGACUCAGCAUUUCUUUCAGGCUGCGUUUUCGUGGCAGACCUACCCAGAUUGAUGGAGAAAGUUUGGCUGGCGGAUAAGAAGUAACGCGGAAGAUGUGUACGUGAGAGCGAUUUCACUUCACUCACUUUCUCAUUUAAAGGUUGGAUGUUUUACAGUGGUAUACAUGAUUCUCCUUCUGUAAUCAAGAGUGGGAAGUCGCUUCCCCCAAUCCCCGCGCAGCCCUUCUUCUCCCGCCUUAGCCAUGCAAAAUACCUAGAAAGAAAACACUAAAACUGAACUUUUUUCCAAAUACAGCAGUAGCUUUGAAAGCAUUCUUUGCUCCUCUGUUAACAGCAGAAUGUAAUUCUGACCACUGCACUGAUGGUUUCUUAAUCAUGCAGUAUGAAGAUCAGCUUCAAAAUAAGUCUUAUGAAUGAAUGAAUGAAAGCCAGUGCAGUUAGUUCAUCAUGACUGCAGACAUUAGAGGACUUUGAAACAACCUUUGGUGUACAUUGUACUGUUUUUGUUACUGAUAUUGUAUGUAUUCAUAUGCAUUGUGGAUCAUGCACCAUGAAACUUGAAAAUUGUUCCAACAUCUCAAUGGCCACAACAGUUUGGUAGCUUUUGCCUGUAAACGUUGUAUGUAAACAUUUGAACGUGUUAUACUAAAUUACUAAACUCAUUUUUUACUAAAAUCAUCUGGUUCGACAUAGUAAGUAACGUGCAGUAAGCCACCACGUCGAAAUGAAAAAAAAAAAACAGAUUAUUUCCCAUCAUUGUCUUUGUUUUUUUCUCUUCUGUGUUCCUGUUUUUUUACCGUUCAUCUAGACAACAGGUUAAUGUAUUGUCUCAGGGUUGAAAGAAGAUAAUUUAAGAUCAAGUAUUAAGAUCUAUAAACAACUAUUUUUUUAAAACUGCAAACAUAAGGAAAUAUGAGUUAAAUAUUUUUUCCAUGGAAAGCCUUCGUUUUAUACUCAUGAUUAUAUUUGAAACAUCACAAACAGAUCAACUUUUUU